GACGAACUGCCCAAACGUUGUUCGGAAUCACUGGGCUUAAAGGGCGCGUAGGCGGCAUGUCAAGUCAGGGGUGAAAUCCGGCAGCUCAACUGUCGAAGUGCCUUUGAUACUGACGUGCUCGAGGGAGGUAGGGGUCUGUGGAACUUCUGGUGGAGCGGUGAAAUGCGUUGAUAUCAGAAGGAACGCCGGUGGCGAAAGCGACGGACUGGACCUUUUCUGACGCUGAGGCGCGAAAGCUAGGGGAGCAAACGGG
rnacentral:rRNA from 1 species